rnacentral:rRNA from 1 species
GACGAACGCUGGCGGCGUGCCUAACACAUGCAAGUCGCGCGAGAACGUUUCCUUCGGGAGGCUAGUAAGCGGCGCACGGGUGAGUAACGCGUAAGUAAUCUGCCCUUUGGACUGGCACAACUCCGGGAAACCGGGGCUAAUACCAGAUGAUGUCGAAAGACCAAAGCCUUCGGGCGCCAAAGGAUGAGCUUGCGUCCCAUUAGCUUGUUGGUAGGGUAAUGGCCUACCAAGGCUGCGAUGGGUAGCUGGUCUGAGAGGAUGAUCAGCCACAUUGGGACUGAGACACGGCCCAG